UACGGAGGGUGCGAGCGUUGUCCGGAAUUACUGGGCGUAAAGGGCGCGUAGGCGGCCUUCUAAGUCGAACGUGAAAUCCCCCGGGCUCAACCCGGGGAACUGCGUCCGAUACUGGAAGGCUUGAAUCCGGGAGAGGGAUGCGGAAUUCCAGGUGUAGCGGUGAAAUGCGUAGAUAUCUGGAGGAACACCGGUGGCGAAGGCGGCAUCCUGGACCAACACUGACACCGAGGAGCGAAG
rnacentral:rRNA from 1 species